CCUGAAUCAACUGACUGUUGGU
rnacentral:miRNA from 2 species